UGCAAGUCGAACGGUGAAGGAGAGCUUGCUCUCUGGAUCAGUGGCGAACGGGUGAGUAACACGUGAGCAAUCUGCCCCUGACUCUGGGAUAACAGUUGGAAACAGCUGCUAAUACCGGAUACGAGCUUCGAAGGCAUCUUCAGAAGCUGGAAAGAACUUCGGUCAGGGAUGAGCUCGCGGCCUAUCAGCUAGUUGGUGAGGUAAUGGCUCACCAAGGCGUCGACGGGUAGCCGGCCUGAGAGGGUGACCGGCCACACUGGGACUGAGACACGGCCCAGACUCCUACGGGAGGCAGCAGUGGGGAAUAUUGCACAAUGGGCGCAAGCCUGAUGCAGCAACGCCGCGUGAGGGACGACGGCCUUCGGGUUGUAAACCUCUUUUAGCAGGGAAGAAGCGAAAGUGACGGUACCUGCAGAAAAAGCGCCGGCUAACUACGUGCCAGCAGCCGCGGUAAUACGUAGGGCGCAAGCGUUAUCCGGAAUUAUUGGGCGUAAAGAGCUCGUAGGCGGUUUGUCGCGUCUGCUGUGAAAACUGGAGGCUCAACCUCCAGCCUGCAGUGGGUACGGGCAGACUAGAGUGCGGUAGGGGAGAUUGGAAUUCCUGGUGUAGCGGUGGAAUGCGCAGAUAUCAGGAGGAACACCGAUGGCGAAGGCAGAUCUCUGGGCCGUAACUGACGCUGAGGAGCGAAAGGGUGGGGAGCAAACAGGCUUAGAUACCCUGGUAGUCCACCCCGUAAACGUUGGGAACUAGUUGUGGGGUCCAUUCCACGGAUUCCGUGACGCAGCUAACGCAUUAAGUUCCCCGCCUGGGGAGUACGGCCGCA
rnacentral:rRNA from 1 species